rnacentral:rRNA from 1 species
UACGUAGGGCGCAAGCGUUGUCCGGAAUUAUUGGGCGUAAAGAGCUCGUAGGCGGCUUGUCACGUCGGGUGUGAAAGCCCGGGGCUUAACCCCGGGUCUGCAUUCGAUACGGGCAGGCUAGAGUGUGGUAGGGGAGAUCGGAAUUCCUGGUGUAGCGGUGAAAUGCGUAGAUAUCUGGAGGAACACCGGUGGCGAAGGCGGCAUCCUGGACCAAUACUGACGCUGAGGAGCGAAAGCCAGGGGAGCAAACGGG